ACUAUUAGACACGCCAAAUACAAACUUACUCAUCUUAGACCUGCUAUCUGCUACUACAUGCGGGGCAUAUCUGGCUAACUGAGUAAACUUAUGAGAAUACUUUUGUACCGUUAUGUUUCCCUUCUUCAGAGUUAUAAACUCCAAAACCUUCAUUUCUCUUAACUCUAGCGAGAUAAACCUAUCCUAAAAUUCAAGUGCAAACUCCUCCCAUUCUAUGGGCCC
rnacentral:lncRNA from 1 species